ACGCUGGCGGCAGGCCUAACACAUGCAAGUCGAGCGGAAACGACACUAACAAUCCUUCGGGUGCGUUAAUGGGCGUCGAGCGGCGGACGGGUGAGUAAUGCCUAGGAAAUUGCCUUGAUGUGGGGGAUAACCAUUGGAAACGAUGGCUAAUACCGCAUAAUGCCUACGGGCCAAAGAGGGGGAUCUUCGGACCUCUCGCGUCAAGAUAUGCCUAGGUGGGAUUAGCUAGUUGGUGAGGUAAUGGCUCACCAAGGCGACGAUCCCUAGCUGGUCUGAGAGGAUGAUCAGCCACACUGGAACUGAGACACGGUCCAGACUCCUACGGGAGGCAGCAGUGGGGAAUAUUGCACAAUGGGCGAAAGCCUGAUGCAGCCAUGCCGCGUGUAUGAAGAAGGCCUUCGGGUUGUAAAGUACUUUCAGUUGUGAGGAAGGGGGUARYGUUAAUAGCGUUAUCUCUUGACGUUAGCAACAGAAGAAGCACCGGCUAACUCCGUGCCAGCAGCCGCGGUAAUACGGAGGGUGCGAGCGUUAAUCGGAAUUACUGGGCGUAAAGCGCAUGCAGGUGGUUCAUUAAGUCAGAUGUGAAAGCCCGGGGCUCAACCUCGGAACUGCAUUUGAAACUGGUGAACUAGAGUGCUGUAGAGGGGGGUAGAAUUUCAGGUGUAGCGGUGAAAUGCGUAGAGAUCUGAAGGAAUACCAGUGGCGAAGGCGGCCCCCUGGACA
rnacentral:rRNA from 1 species